rnacentral:lncRNA from 1 species
CGGGACGUUGCAGCUGCCUGCGCUGCAGCGCGCGGUCCCCACGCACGCCCUGCCCCCGGGCGGCGGCGAGCAGAGGUUUCGCGCGCCCUCCUCCCGCUCGGGUCGGCGGCUGCCACCGCUUGUGUCCGGGACCCCCGGCCCAAGUAAGGCUUCCGGAGCCGGGCUGAGCCCGGGCAGACCGAGCCUGACACUGCCUUGGGGUCCAGGGAGUGCAAAGGACGGGAAGCCCGGGAAAGUGGGAGUGGCCGAGCGAGGCCGGUAGCUGCGAGGAGGUGGCGAAGGACCCUCCUUCUCCGAGGGUCUCGGCUCCCAGGAGCUGGGAGCCCAAAUCACUUUAACCCUUUGCAUUCCAAAAAAGCCCGGUGAAGUCUCAGCAGAACCCAGGAAGCGCAGAAUCGGGAGAAAGUCUUUGGCUGGGGCUGGUUCAAGUCCCUGGUUCAAUGGGCUGCUGGAAGCCAGGACUGGAGAAAGAGGAAGACAGAGGAUCCAAAGGAGGCUCUGCCCUGGCAGCAGUGAGCCCCAGGUGGGGCUUGAACUCAGGAACCGUGAGAUCAUGACCUGAGCCCAAGUCGGACACUUAACCAACAGCUUAACCAACUGAGCCACCCAGGCGCUCCCAAAUAGUAAUUUUAUAAAGGUAAGUUGCAAUGUUGUAUCUGAAACAAUAGUAAUGUAAAUAAAA